CCCUUAGAUGUUCUGGGCCGCACACGCGCUACAAUGGCAAAGUCAACGAGCUAAUCCUAUGCUGACAAGCACAGGUAAUCUUUUCAGUCUUUGUCGUGAUGGGGAUAGACCCUUGUAAUUAUUGGUCUCCAACGAGGAAUUCCUAGUAAACGCAAGUCAUCAACUUGCAUUGAUUACGUCCCUGCCCUUUGUACACACCGCCCGUCGCACCUACCGAUUGAAUGGUCCGGUGAAGUCUUCGGACCGAUGCUGAUUCGUUGGCAACGGAAAGUUGAGUAAACCUUACCAUUUAGAGGAAGGUGAAGUCGUAACA
rnacentral:rRNA from 1 species